rnacentral:rRNA from 1 species
UGAGUAACCUGCCCUUGACUCUGGGAUAAGCACUGGAAACGGUGUCUAAUACCGGAUACGACCCUCGGAGGCAUCUUCAGGGGGUGGAAAGAAUUUUGGUCAAGGAUGGACUCGCGGCCUAUCAGGUAGUUGGUGAGGUAACGGCUCACCAAGCCGACGACGGGUAGCCGGCCUGAGAGGGUGACCGGCCACACUGGGACUGAGACACGGCCCAGACUCCUACGGGAGGCAG